rnacentral:rRNA from 1 species
GACGAACGCUGGCGGCGUGCUUAACACAUGCAAGUCGAACGGAAAGGCCCUGCUUGCAGGGUGCUCGAGUGGCGAACGGGUGAGUAACACGUGGGUGAUCUGCCCCUUACUUUGGGAUAAGCCUGGGAAACUGGGUCUAAUACUGGAUAGGACCAUGCUGUAGGUGGUGUGGUGGAAAGAUUAGUUUCGGUAAGGGAUGAGCUCGCGGCCUAUCAGCUUGUUGGUGGGGUAAUGGCCUACCAAGGCGUCGACGGGUAGCCGGCCUGAGAGGGUGGACGGCCACAUUGGGACUGAGAUACGGCCCAGACUCCUACGGGAGGCAGCAGUGGGGAAUAUUGCACAAUGGGCGCAAGCCUGAUGCAGCGACGCCGCGUGGGGGAUGACGGCCUUCGGGUUGUAAACUCCUUUCAGCCAUGACGAAGCCCUUGUGGUGACGGUAGUGGUAGAAGAAGCAUCGGCUAACUACGUG